UACGUAGGGUGCGAGCGUUGUCCGGAAUUAUUGGGCGUAAAGAGCUUGUAGGCGGUUUGUCGCGUCUGCCGUGAAAUUUCGAGGCUCAACCUCGAACUUGCGGUGGGUACGGGCAGACUAGAGUGUGGUAGGGGGAGACUGGAAUUCCUGGUGUAGCGGUGAAAAUGCGCAGAUAUCAGGAGGAACACCGUGCGAAGGCGGGUCUCUGGG
rnacentral:rRNA from 1 species